CGGGCGGAGAGAAGAGAUGAGGCUCGAAUUUGGGGUUGGAAAUCCUUCUCGGAAAACAGAUUCGGGAACAGAAGGAUUGCUUGGGCUGCUAUUUUGAAAUGAGACAGAAGAGGAUCAAGGCCUGUUGCUGGAAGACUCUUUAGGGGGCUACUGUGUGAUCCAGGAAUAUCUGCACACAGGGUUUGUUCUGAUACAGACACAUCCAGCCUCUUCAUUCCAAACUACUGUCUCCAAAAGAGAAUGUGGCAAGUGUGUGCAACUGAGCCGCAUAUAGAAGGAAGAAGAAGGCAACUGUGGCUGAAAUGGACUGCACUCAAUCUCCAUUCAUGCUACUGAAAUUCCUAAGAGAAUCACCACUGUGAUGGAGCCUAUUAUCCGGAUGUCAUUGGUUGGAUCCACCAUCAUCGAAUCACUCUCCUGG